GAUCGGGUCCAUUGUCACAAGUCAAGGAACAGCUGAGGGUGCUGGGGCUGUUGAACCUGGAGAAAAGGAGGCUCAGCCGGGAUCUUAACACUGUCUAGAACCACCUGAAAGGAGGCUAUGGCCAGGCAUUAAAGAUUCACCACAAGAGGAAGGGAGAAAAAGCAGGUUCUGAUGGAUUUAAUGAGAGUGUGACAUUCAGGAUGCAUCAUUCAUAUUCUUUGCCCAUUAAUCCUCUGCACAGCACCAUAAGUGUGCAUGAUGCUGUCAAGUUUUAGGAAAUACAGCUUCUGCUCUGUGGGUUGAGUGAACAUAAGGUAAUACAUGAAGAAAGGGAGAAAAGCAAAGGACCAUGAAAACAAGGAAGGCCUAUACUUUUGUCACAUGAACAGUCUGCAGAAGAAACUAAUUCCCUUGGCUAAUGAUGGAGGGAUUGUAGAAUGAUGACCUCAGACAUCUCAUUUUCGACCUCUGAGUUAGAAGAUCAAUCCCAUCCCCUGGAGAAGCAAGAUCAACCAAAAGGAUUGUACAAUACAACUACUUCUUUCUGCCCACCUGCCCUGGGGGAAGUCCCCUGUGGCUCCUGCUUGUUGGCACUGGUGUCUUGCAACAAUCAGAGGUUUCCAGAGGAUGUGGAACUACUUUGUUCCCUAUCUAUUAAGCAUGACUAUAAAAGGCCAAGUCCCCAGUGCUGCCAGUUCAGUGAAACUGAAAGGUAGUAAAUUCAAAUCUCAUAAACAAAAAGCAUUUUAUAUACAGCAUGCAUAUAAAGAAUUUACUACUACAGACUGUCACAGAGGCCGUGGUUUUAAGAAGGCAUAUGACAUUUUCAAAGAUAACAAAAUAUCUAGAGUAAAUUCAAGAGAGGAGAAAUCUAGAAGGCGCAUAAGUGCUUCUUCAUCUUACACAAUCUCUUAAUGAUGGAUGAGACCUUUUUGGGGAUUAUUUUCUCUGUUGUAACUUGUCUUGGUCACCAUCAGACAGGAGUUUCUAGACCAUAAAUCUGAACAAAUAUAGCAGUUUCCUUGUUGCUCACUUACACCUGAGAGAGUCUGCUGACCAUAAAGUACACCAAGGGUUUGAUCUAAAGCACAUCAUCCAUCACUGAUGCAGUAAAGCUGCAUCCAUUCUGUGAGGCUCUGAAAAAUUGCCCAAUGGGCAGUUGGUUUGCAGGGCAGAGAUGUGUACUCUUGGGUAAUGUGGCAUUGGUGUACAAGGCGCUGCAUUCAUUGCUCCACUCUCAUAUGCCUAAAAGAAUCCCAGAUUGUGUGAUUCACACACCUCCUGCUCUUCCUUUUAAUUCUUUGCUCAAAAUCCAGUGCAAACUUCCUCUCUCAUCCUGACUAUUUAUAAGUAUACAUAGAAACAAAUGUUUUGUAAAGUUGUAAGAGACAUUCUUCUUUAU